UACAGAGGAGCCAAGCGUUGUCCGGAUUGACUGGGCGUAAAGCGCACGCAGGCGGUCUGGCGCGUGGGGUGUGAAAAUCUGGCCGCUUAACGGCCAGGCGCAUCCCAUACGGCCGGACUGGAGCCUUGCAGAGGUCGGUGGAAUUGCCGGUGUAGUGGUGAAAUGCGUAGAUAUCGGGAGGAACACCGGUGGCGAAGGCGGCUCC
rnacentral:rRNA from 1 species